GAAAAUGGACUAUAUGUACAAAAGUCUACUAAGCUUAGUACCAUUGUCUACAAGCCAUGUAUAAUCUUUAUAUGCAUAUAAUGAGGUAAUAACAUAUUUUGGUUAGAUCAGACAACAAGCCAAUUUAGGGAGGCACUUCCAAAAGAGUUAUGGCGUCUCUAAACUUUGGUUUCUAACAAUCAGUAGACAGUUUUGCCCUUGUGAGUAAAUGACAACUGAGCUUUACUCGUUUCUUGUCUUCAUAAUAUAAAAUGGUUGUUCUUGGCCGUGGUAUAUAACUCUGCCUCCAUAUCAUGGAAUAAGUAAGAAGUGAAAGACUAUUUGAACAAGUUAGUUGAGAGAGAGAGAGAGAGAGAGGGCAAGGCUCUUUAAUGCCAUCCAAGAAUAGAAAACGACACAACUAAACCGCGUGAUCAAUUGAGAUGAUCCAUGUGCAAGCCAUGCCAAAUCCUUAUGAUGCGACACAGAACAAAAGGGCCAUCACACUUUGGAGGUGUUGUUGGGACCUGCAGCCCCCCUUAACUAAUAUACUUUUCUUCCACGUGUGGACUUGGAGUUUUUUGCUCUUCAAUUUUAGUCUCUCAUUUUCCAUAGCAGCCUAAAUAAAAAUUUAAAUUAACCCUCUUCAACUUGGCAAAUCCUGGGGCCGGAGAUGUCAAAUCCUUUUGUUUUCUAUAGAGAAAGAGUGAAAGAUUGCCACAGGUCCAUUUGCAUUGGGACCAUGAUUGUUACUGUAAUAGUUUUCAUGUAGCUAUCAAAACCACUCUGCCACAGGGUUUAUCAGAUAAAAUUAUCAUAUUAUCCAAAAUGGUCUAGUGCACACAUAAACACUUUAUAUUUGAGUCUAUUUAAAGAAAGAAAGAAAGAAAAAAUGGAAAUGUAAAAAAGUAAAUAAAACAAGCAAA